GCACGAUGGACGUUACUGGGGCCAGGCUCACUUGGACUAUAAUCGAGUCGUGAGUUUGACUUCAAUGGAACGACACCAGGCGCUGUUGAUCUACAUGACUUUGUGUGAGCUGAUGGCGACCUGAUUGCAUGCGACGUGGCAUGCGAGGAGUUCUGCAAUGUUGCCAACAUCGGAAGUACAUGCCACAGUGGAAAAUAAGAAGUGUAUGAACUGGUCUCCAGAUUUGGUAGGCAAAUCAAUAAGGCUGUGCUCUUUCUGCAAUAGAUGGCACAAUACGUAGUGAGCUGUGCACCAGGGUCUCGCCGGCUUGCCAUAUGUGUAUAUAAGGAAAGCGCAGCUGAACCAUUGAAAGCAAUAAAAUGGGUUUGUUGACAUUU